rnacentral:lncRNA from 1 species
AUGCCAUGUGAAAAUGGUUUCAGGAGAGACACAAAGAUAUGCGAUAUGGAUGUGAUUCUUGGGAAUAGAAGGCAGCUGAGUCCUUCAGUGCAAAAGCUGGAGAAUAUUCUGCUUCUGAUGGGGGACAGCCAGAGUGAGAUUGCACCAGCUGUCAGCUUAAGUCCUACCAAAGGCACCUUGAAAAAGCUCCAUCAACACUUCCAUGCUACUGAGAGGGACAGAGUACAGAAGAUCCAUUCCUACCUCCUGCUCCAGCCUUCCUGCUCCCUCCAGACAGUACAUUCCAUGGAGACUCUGGAACAAACUUCCCCAUUCAGGAGACUGCUGGUUGCUUAUGUGAAGCCCCAUCAUCACCAAGCAAAGACAGAUAGAUACUGCUAA